AACGAACGCUGGCGGCAGGCUUAACACAUGCAAGUCGAGCGCCCCGCAAGGGGAGCGGCAGACGGGUGAGUAACGCGUGGGAAGCUACCCAUCUCUACGGAAUAACGCAUGGAAACGUGUGCUAAUACCGUAUACGUCCUUCGGGAGAAAGAUUUAUCGGAGAUGGAUGAGCCCGCGUUGGAUUAGCUAGUUGGUGGGGUAAAGGCCUACCAAGGCGACGAUCCAUAGCUGGUCGGAGAGGAUGAUCAGCCACACUGGGACUGAGACACGGCCCAGACUCCUACGGGAGGCAGCAGUGGGGAAUAUUGGACAAUGGGCGCAAGCCUGAUCCAGCCAUGCCGCGUGAGUGAUGAAGGCCCUAGGGUUGUAAAGCUCUUUCACCGGUGAAGAUAAUAACGGUAACCGGAGAAGAAGCCCCGGAUAACUUCGUGCCAGCCGCCGCAGUAAUAC
rnacentral:rRNA from 1 species